rnacentral:piRNA from 1 species
UCGGUGGCCAUCCUCAACGUCGGGAGUGA